CAUGUCUCUCUCCAAGAAACAAUUCUUCACUCUUCUGGCUCUAACGCGAGGUAGCGCAUUCAUAUUAAUGGAAGAGCCUGCCUCGGACUAAUUCCCUGUAGCGUGGACAUGCUAUUUCAAAACUAUUACUUCAGGAGUUUUUAUUUCAAAGCCAAGAGGCUGCUGCUGCAAAGCAAUAAAGUCCCUCUGGACAGGAUCCUUUUUGUCUCAUAUCCGGUUAGAUGCUCAUGAGCAAAGCCGAACGACAUAAGAAAUGAGAUCGCAGGAAAUCCUGGUGCCCCUUUAAUGCACAUUGACUUACAAUCUCAGAUCUGCUUGAGAUUUAAUACAGGGGAAAUCUAAGCCACAAGGAUUGCGGUUCUAGUCAUUGGCUGGCAUCACUCUGGGUAUGGAUUUUGGAUUGUAACCAUGGACUAAAUUCUAAAAGAACUUUUUGUAACUACAAGAUCAUCAUCUCUGUUAUGUAACUGAACCCCAAGAAUCAACUCCAUGUCCAAUAUUUCCUUUCCUCUCCUAAUAAAGUUUAGU